CACACAUCUGGACAUCACACAACUCUGUCAACCAUGUGAAGAAGUCUGUGUCCAUUGUUGUGGUUCUAUUGAAGCUGUGAUCCGAUUGGUCCUCUCGGCUCUGGUGGGAGUGGCCACCGCAGCAGUUCUGGUUUAUGACAUCAGAUCUAGCAGUGGCUAAAAUGAGAACAGAUUGUACAAAUAUUGUGACGUAUGUUGGCAUUUUGAGCUAUUAAUAUAACCAUAUAUAUUCAAUGAUUUAAAUUCAAAUGAAUAAAAUCAACAAGAGCUUUUAUGUGUUGGUGCAAACGUAUUUAA